rnacentral:rRNA from 1 species
UACGAAGGGGGCUAGCGUUGCUCGGAAUCACUGGGCGUAAAGGGUGCGUAGGCGGGUUUUUAAGUCAGGGGUGAAAUCCUGGAGCUCAACUCCAGAACUGCCUUUGAUACUGAAGAUCUUGAGUCCGGGAGAGGUGAGUGGAACUGCGAGUGUAGAGGUGAAAUACGUAGAUAUUCGCAAGAACACCAGUGGCGAAGGCGGCUCACUGGCCCGGUACUGACGCUGAGGCACGAAAGCGUGGGGAGCAAACAGG